UUGAGUCUUGCUGGAGGAUGGAGCUAGGGGCUGAGAAAGCUAGGGCAGAGCUCUAGAUCCCCGAAUUUUAGUGUGGGGGAGAGCUUGCUGUUGGGGAUCCAGACAUUAUAAAGGAGUUCUGGCCCACUUGUGAGAUUGGAGAGAAAGAUCUGAGGCUGUGACUCCAACGUCCUGGGGAAGAGGGAGCUUAAGAGACCCGCUUGAAGAUCCUGAGAGAAAGAAUGUGAGCCUGGGGGUGGGAGGGUCCUGGGCUCAGAGAAAGGGGACCUCCCUGCGCCUGAGGUCCGUGUCUGGGGACCUCUGCGCCUCACCUUCCAGAAUGCAAGGGGCGGGGUCACUCGGACUCGGUGGAAGAGGCCCCCGGACUUCCCUUCGGUGUGUCGGGUACAAGAUUUUGCAGCCUUUUAACGAGGAAGCCCCGCCCACGGCCCCGCCUUCUGCCCGCACCUUGCUGCGGUGCGGCUGAACCCGCAAGCGCUCGAGGAGGGGCACGGGCUGGAGUGACUUUAGGAGGAGGGACUGGAGCCUCGGAAACCGAGGGCGGCGGGACCAGCCCUGGCUGAAGUCCCAAGGUGCUGCAAUAAGCUUGUUGUUAAGGUUGCAGAGGUUCGGCCGGAGCAGGUU
ensembl:processed_transcript 2310002F09Rik RIKEN cDNA 2310002F09 gene